GGCGAACGCUGGCGGCAGGCCUAACACAUGCAAGUCGAACGGACCCUUCGGGGUUAGUGGCGGACGGGUGAGUAACACGUGGGAACGUGCCUUUAGGUUCGGAAUAGCUCCUGGAAACGGGUGGUAAUACCGAAUGUGCCCUUCGGGGGAAAGAUUUAUCGCCUUUAGAGCGGCCCGCGUCUGAUUAGCUUGUUGGUGAG
rnacentral:rRNA from 1 species